rnacentral:rRNA from 1 species
GGAGAGCGUUCUAAGGGCGUCGAAGGCAGAUCGUGAGGACUGCUGGAGCGCUUAGAAGUGAGAAUGCCGGUAUGAGUAGCGAAAGACAGGUGAGAAUCCUGUCCACCGAAUGACUAAGGUUUCCUGGGGAAGGCUCGUCCGCCCAGGGUUAGUCGGGACCUAAGCCGAGGCCGAUAGGCGUAGGCGAUGGAUAACAGGUUGAUAUUCCUGUACCCGUUGUUUUUGUUUGAGCAAUGGAGGGACGCAGGAGGCUAAGGAAUGCAGACGAUCGGAAAUGUCUGUCCAAGCAGUAAGUCUGAAGAGGAGUCAAAUGCUUCUUUUUUUAAGGACAAGCUGCGAUGGGGAGGGAAAUAAUAGUACCGAAGUUCCUGAUGUCACACUGCCGAGAAAAGCUUCUAGUGAGAAAACAGCGGCCCGUACCGCAAACCGACACAGGUAGUC